GUAGGUGGCAAGCGUUGUCCGGGAAUUAUUGGGGCGUAAAGUGCGCGCAGGCGGUUCUUUAAGUCUGAUGUGAAAGCCCACGGGCUCAACCGUGGAGGGUCAUUGGAGACUGGAGAACUUGAGUACAGAAGAGGAAAGCGGAAUUCCACGUGUAGCGGUGAAAUGCGUAGAGAUGUGGAGGAACACCAGUGGCGAAGGCGGCUUUCUGGUCUGUAACUGACGCUGAGGCGCGAAAGCGUGGGGAGCAAACAGGAUUAGAUACCCUGGUAGUCCACGCCGUAAACGAUGAGUGCUAAGUGUUAGGGGGUUUCCGCCCCUUAGUGCUGCAGCUAACGCAUUAAGCACUCCGCCUGGGGAGUACGGCCGCAAAGGCUG
rnacentral:rRNA from 1 species